rnacentral:rRNA from 1 species
GAUGAACGCUGGCGGCGUGCCUAAUACAUGCAAGUCGAGCGAACAGAUCAGGACCUUGCUCCUCUGACGUUAGCAGCGGACGGGUGAGUAACACGUCUAUAACCUACCUAUAAGACUGGGAUAACUACGGCAAACCGGAGCUAAUACCGGAUAAUAUAUUGAACUGCAAUGUUCAAUAGUGAAAUACGGUUUUUCUGUCACUAAUAGAUGAAUCCGCGCCUCAUUAGCUAGUGGGUAAGGUAGCGGCUUACCAAGGCAGCGAUGCGUAACCGACCUGAGAGGGUGAUCGGCUACACGGGAAGUGAGACAGGGUCCAGACUCCUACGGGAGGCAGCAGUAGGGAAUCUUACGCAAUGGGGGAAAGCCUGACGGAGCAACGCGGCGUGAGUGAUGAAGGUGUUAGGAUCGUAAAACUCUGUUAUUAGGGAAGAACAAAUGUGUAAGUAACUAUGCACGUCUUGACGGUACCUAAUCAGAAAGCCACGGCUAACUACGUG